UCGAGAAUCAUUCACAAUGGAGGAAACUCUGAUGGUGCAACGCCGCGUGGAGGAUGACGGCCCUAGGGUUGUAAACUCCUGUCAUUGGGGAGUAAGACUUAUGCGUUAAGAGCGUGUAAGUUUGAUAGUACCCAAAGAGGAAGGGACGGCUAACUUCGUGCCAGCAGCCGCGGUAAUACGAAGGUCCCAAGCGUUGUUCGGAAUAACUGGGCGUAAAGCGUGUGUAGGCUGCGCGGAAAGUCAAAUGUGAAAGCCAAGGGCUCAACCCUUGAACUGCAUUCGAUACUCCCGUGCUAGAGUAAUGGAGAGGUAAGUGGAAUUCCUGGUGUAGCAGUGAAAUGCGUGGAUAUCAGGAGGAACAUCAAUGGCGAAGGCAACUUACUGGACAUUUACUGACGCUCAGACACGAAGGCUAGGGGAGCGAAAGGG
rnacentral:rRNA from 1 species